GAAUGUUUCUUGACCUAGAGUGGACUUAAUACUUCCCAGAUUUGAUGAGGGAGGUGUUUUCUUUUCUGUUUGAAUCUUUUAUGUUUUAUUACUCGUGAGUGACUUUGUCAGCAAUCCUAACCUAGAUUAUGAAGUCCUUUGAUCUUGGAGUACAUUUAAAAUAUCUUGUUGAAAUUGUUCCCUCUCUAUUCAUGUUAUUCUACGAGCUGCAUUAAAUUUCAGUGUUGUUGGAGAAUAUUAUUUUAUAUGCUUUGUUUAAUCUUUCUUUUAAUGCAAUUCAUUCAGACCCGAUUUUUUAUCAGUAUCUUAAUAUUGCAGUGUCCCUCUGCUGUCUUAAAAUUCUUUUUUUCUCUCUCCAUAGUCUGAAAUGUAAUGACAUCUAAUGUUAGCUUCUGGCACGAUGCUAGUCACUUUUUGCUAGCACCCUUCUGUGCAAUGCUAAUCUGACAUUCUGAAUUUUAAGCUGUAUAUCUCUGUAAAUCCUGUCUUUUCACACAGAUCAGUAGCCAAGCCUUUUAUCUGAGCCUUAUAUUACAAAAAGGAUGCAAAAUCAGAAGAUGUCAAUGGAGUAAUCAUUUUAAAAAAUAAGAUACAAAAUUAAAUUUGGUUCAAAUGUAACUGGUGAUCAAAGGACCUUUCUGCAUAAAUUAUUUUCUAAGUUAUUUGUGUCUGUUUUUACUCCUUAGGUUAAGAUUCUACUCAGUCAUUGAUUUAAUUUUGCAUGUCAUCUAGCAUAUUUAAUCUACCAACAUUAGUAGAUUAUUUAAUGUUUGAACAUACAGAAAUGUUGCCUUUAACCAUAUACCAUAGCAAAAACUAAAGCAUUUUAAAUUAUAUGGAAUAAUCAUAUACUAUGUAAGUGUGUGAUAACUAUUCAGUAACAUAUUUAACACUUCUACUUUUGGAAUAAAAUAGUGAAACAAUUGGCAAUGAUUUACCAAGUUGAAAGAAGACAAUCAGAUGAUCUAGGCAUGCCACCUAUGUUAUUUAUAUUUAAAAAUUAGAUUUAUUUUGAGAGUUUUGUUUUCUUUAAAUUCUGUCAUUGGGUAACAUUUAGUUCCUAUCAUUUGGUAACAUGGAUGGACUUUAGCUUCGAAUCAGUACAUGCCUUUAUGGUCUUGUUAAGGUGUAUAAAUGAAACUACAAGAAUAUGGUGGAUGAAACCUGAGAAGGGAGAUAAUAUUUGAUGAUGCACAACAUAUAAUCUAUGUACAGCCCAAUCCUUGUACUUUGAGAGUUUUGUGAUAGGUUGAGAAUUUUCAUAAAAAGGUAUGCCUUGUCCUAAAAUGUUUGUAGGAAAUGUUUUCAGUAUUUUUAGUAUUAAAUCAAUGGAAGAUAUAUUUUAAACAUAUGAGUUAGAUGUGUGCUGUUUAUUUUCUUUUAUUGCUUACAACUAAACUUGGUAGUUUAUGGAGUAUUUUCUAAGACUGUUAUUUAUAAAAUGUAAUAAAACCAAAUUAUUCAUAUAUUUUUAUAUUAAACCCUCUCAGAUAAUUCUGUUAAUAUGAUGAGAACUGGAAAUAUAGACCUCUUAAACAUUUUUGUUUUUUCUUGAUAGGAAGAAGAAAAGAAGUCGGUCAGUUAUCCUUCUCUCCUUAGCCACAUAACUUCUUCUCUCAUGAAUCAUCCAGUCAUUCCAAUGGCAAAUAAGUUCUCCUCACCUACCCUUGAGCUGCAAGGUGAAUUCUCUCCAUUACAGUCAUCUUUGCCUUGUGACAUUCAUCUGGUUAAUUUGAGAACAAUACAGUCAAAGGUGGGCAAUGGGCAUUCCAAUGAGGCAGCCUUGAUCCUCCACAGAAAAGGGUUUGAUUGUCGGUUCUCUAGCAAAGGCACAGGGCUGUUUUGUUCUACUACUCAGGGAAAGAUAUUGGUACAGAAACUUUUAAACAAGUUUAUUGUCGAAAGUCUCACACCUUCAUCACUAUCCUUGAUGCAUUCACCUCCCGGCACUCAGAAUAUAAGUGAGAUCAACUUGAGUCCAAUGGAAAUCAGCACAUUCCGAAUCCAGUUGAGGUGAACCUGACUUUCACAUUUGGAUUGAGAAUCAUUGGCUUUUAUACCUUUCUUGGUUUGACGUGCAAUAAAGAAGCACAUUAUUUUAGCUUCUGGCUACUGUGAGAACAUGAAUUCUGUGAUUCUGUGGGUUUUUUCUUUUUUCUUUUACCAGUACAGUAAGAAAAAAAAAAAA
rnacentral:sRNA from 1 species